GAGAGAGGGAUGGAGGAAGAGGACCUAGAGGAUGAAUUUAAUAUAAUUUGCACAAGUGAUUUUGCUCCCAAUUCCACUCAGUGAACUUAGUUAAUUCUUUUAAACAGUAACAUUCAUUGGCUGUUAAGUAAAACAGGAGAGAACACAAUAAAUUUAUGAUAUUUUGAGAAGCUAUGCCAGUUCUCAAGCAUUCAGAGAAACAAGCUUGGCUUUUAUGAGGUAAUUAUGAUUUAGUGUUUUCUCUCGCCCUGUUGAGUCUGUGGGCUGCCUGUAAAAUGGAUCUGGAAUGAAUGUCAAAGUCAGGAUUUACAGUCAAACAUUUUCAACAUAUAAAGUACAGGAGAAGUUUAUUGUUUUGUUGGGGUUUUUUUUUUUCUAAGCAAUAUUUCCUUCUGCAUUUGUGUGCUGUUAGGUUUUGUAGGAUUUCUCCCCUCCCAUUUGAAAUGGUAUCUAUAAAUUACUUUUCCUGAUAAGGCUGCAGUAUCAUCAAAAAGUGAUGGUCUUUGCAAGCAAUCGUGACAAAGCAUGUCAAUUUAAAUCAUUUCUUUCUCUUCCUCUCACUCUUUUUUCCUCUUACCUUCAACAGGAAACUAUCAUUUCAAUGUUUCCACCCUUUCAGAAAUGAGCAGGAAUUGACUAAGCUUGAUGAGUUUGAGGUAUAAGAGAUCUUCAUGCUCCUUCCUUCUACCAUCUUUUUCCCCUGUUCUCUCUUUGAAAUAAAAACUGUGUUUGGAUGUUACCUUCAGGGAGAGCAGACUCUGGGAUCAUCAGGCUCCAAGGCUUUCCGCCCUUACUCUCCCGUUAACAUGCUGGGAUUGACACCACCUUUGCAAAAAUUAUGACGGUGAGAAAAAUCUGACAUAGGAAAAUUAUGUCAGUUAAAGAGAUCUGACCUGACCAACUCCAUCUUGCUCAUAACCUCCAAGCUGCCCUUGUUCAUUUUGGGGCAUAGGCUGAACUAACUUUGGGAAGAAUUUCAUUUAUAGCUUAACUUUGAAACAACUAUGAUAACAGCCCUUUCCCUGAAAUGAACCCCCUCUUUGCUUGGGGAACAGACCAUUUUUGUAAAACCAACAAAUUUGCCACAAGAUUAGAAAUUAUGGCUCAGGAGUCAUGCAGCCAGAGGCCACAAGAUUCCUAACCUCCCCAGGCACUCUUAUGAAUAACAUCACUAUUGUAAAACCUAAGAUUGGUGUUCAAGAUAUUUUUCAGACCCUGCAUUCUGAUGGACCAGCUGGCACCACCCAGACCAGUAAUCUGGGUCAACCUGUUCUGCGAUCCUAUCCAGGAACAGAAGAUAGCAGGAAGAACCUGCUUUGACCCUCUGUGAUUUCAUCUCUGACCCAACCAAUCAGCACUCCCCAUUCCCUCGCCCCCUGCCUGCCAAACUAUCUUUAAAAAACACUAGCCUUGGCUGGGUGCUGUGGCUCAUGGCUGUAAUCCCAGCACUUUGGGAGGCCAAGGCAGGUGGAUCACCUGAAGUUGGGAGUUCGAGACCAGGCUUGCCAACAUGGUGAAACACCAUCUCUACUAAAAAUACAAAAAUUAGCUGUGUGUGGUGGCAGGCGCCUGUAAUCCCAACUAUUUGGGAGUCUGAGGCAGGAGAAUCGCUUGAACCCGGGAGGCGGAGGUUGCAGUGAGCCAAGAUCGUGCCACUGCACUCCAGCCUGGGCAACAGGAGUGAAAUUCCAUCCCAAAAAAACCAAACCAAAACAAAACAAACAAAACCCUAGCCUCUGAAUUUUCAGGGAGGUUGAUUUGAGUAAUAAUAAAACUCCAGUCUCCCAGUUAGCCAGCUCUACCUGUCUUAAACUCUUUCUCUAUUAGAAUUCCCCAGUCCUGAUAAAUAAGCUUAAUCUGGGCAGCGGGUAAAAUGAACCCAUCAGGCAGUUACAGGAUCUUAGGCAGUUGUUACUGAACUGAACUUGGGUCCACUUACCCAACAUGAAAAAAAAAAAAAGCCAAACACUGACACUGAAGUUUGCAGCAAAAGAAACUGAGGCAUUUAUUGCAGAGUUCCAAGCAAGGAAGAUUGGGCAGCUCACACUUAAGAUCCAAACUCCCCAGUGGUUUACAAGCAAGAGUUUUCAAGGGCAGGGGUACAUUUCAGGAAAGCAGAAGUUACAGGCAAAAUAGUAAAUCAAUACGUAGAGGUUAAACAUUGGUUUGGCCCAAAAAGGCAGGAUAUCUUGAAGACAGGGCUUAUAGGUCAUACGUGGAUUCAGAGAUUCUUUGAUUUGCAAUUGGUGAAGGGAGCAAGGCUUCGUCUAAAAACUUAGGGUCGGUAGGAAGCAAUGUUAAUUAAGGGUUUGGCCUGAGGGUGCGACUCUCUUGAAGCCCGUCAGGAAGAAAUUUAGAACAACAAACACUGGUCAGUCCUCACUGCCCCAUUAUCUGAGCUCUAUGUGACAGCAGUUGGCAUUUUCCACCUGAUGGGGGUCUGGGUAUCUGAAAAGCGACUCAAUAACAUAUGCUAAGAUAUGAUCAUUAGAGUCACAAAUCACCUUGUGACUCUAACUUGCUUGAGACACUAUUGCUUAAAUUAUUACUAUCUUCUUGCUUAUUAGGAUGUUCAUUAACUUCUCAAGGCUAGGUAGGUGCCUGGAAUUUUCCUUGAAAAAAACUCAAGAUUUUUCCUUUAUUUCUCUGGAGGCCUCUAAGAGGGGUCCCUGCUCCAUCUCGCAGUCACCUUGCCUCUAGGAACCCCCACCCCCGUUUCUUAAUUUGUCAGAUAAGGCAGUGAGUGGUUUCAAAGUCCUCUUCCAACUCUAAAAUGUUAAGAUUACCUACAUAUGGCCCAAUAGUAUUACAUUAGGUCAACUUGGUAUUUGCAUGUUUGUCUUCAGAGGUAACAGAGAUAGAGGGGAGGGAAUGAUGUGACAAAGACUCUGAUCUUUUUUUUUUUCUCAGACAGAGUCUCACUGUCACCAAGGCUGGAGUGCAGUGUCGCGACCUUGGCUCACUGCGAGCUCCGCCUCACAGGUUCAUGCCAUUCUCCUGCCUCAGCCUCCCGAGUAGCUGGGACUACAGGCGCCCACCACCUCGCCCUGCUAAUUUUUUGUAUUUUUAGUAGAGACAGGGUUUCACCGUGUUAGCCAGGAUGGUCUCGAUCUCCUGACCUCAUGAUCCACCUGCCUCGGCCUCCAAAAGUG
rnacentral:lncRNA from 1 species